rnacentral:snRNA from 1 species
GCGGCUGGAAGAGCACCGCAC